AUAAUGGGUCAGCGACUUAUAUUCUGUAGCAAGGUUAACCGAAUAGGGGAGCCGAAGGGAAACCGAGUCUUAACUGGGCGUUAAGUUGCAGGGUAUAGACCCGAAACCCGGUGAUCUAGCCAUGGGCAGGUUGAAGGUUGGGUAACACUAACUGGAGGACCGAACCGACUAAUGUUGAAAAAUUAGCGGAUGACUUGUGGCUGGGGGUGAAAGGCCAAUCAAACCGGGAGAUAGCUGGUUCUCCCCGAAAGCUAUUUAGGUAGCGCCUCGUGAAUUCAUCUCCGGGGGUAGAGCACUGUUUCGGCAAGGGGGUCAUCCCGACUUACCAACCCGAUGCAAACUGCGAAUACCGGAGAAU
rnacentral:rRNA from 1 species